rnacentral:lncRNA from 1 species
AGGUAGGGUAUGGGGUUAUAUUAUAGUCUACAGGGCUAUGAGGUAGGGUAUGGGGUUAUAUUAUAGUCUACAGGGCUGUGAGGUAGGGUAUGGGGUUAUAUUAUAGGCUACAGGGCUAUGAGGUAGGGUAUGGGGUUAUAUUAUAGUCUACAGGGUUAUGAGGUAGGGUAUGGGGUUAUAUUAUAGUCUACAGGGCUAUGAGGUAGGGUAUGGGGUUAUAUUAUAGUCUACAGGGCUGUGAGGUAGGGUAUGGGGUUAUAUUAUAGUCUACAGGGUUAUGAGGUAGGGUAUGGGGUUAUAUUAUAGUCUACAGGGUUAUGAGGUAGGGUAUGGGGUUAUAUUAUAGUCUACAGGGUUAUGAGGUAGGGUAUGGGGUUAUAUUAUAGUCUACAGGGUAAUGAGGUAGGGUAUGGGGUUAUAUUAUAGUCUACAGGGCUAUGAGAUAGGGUAUGGGGUUAUAUUAUAGUCUACAGGGUUAUGAGGUAGGGUAUGGGGUUAUAUUAUAGUCUACAGGGUUAUGAGGUAGGGUAUGGGGUUAUAUUAUAGUCUACAGGGCUAUGAGGUAGGGUAUGGGGUUAUAUUAUAGUCUACAGGGCUAUGAGGUAGGGUAUGGGGUUAUAUUAUAGUCUACAGGGCUAUGGGGUAGGGUAUGGGGUUAUAUUAUAGUCUACAGGGUUGUGAGGUAGGGUAUGGGGUUAUAUUAUAGUCUACAGGGCUAUGAGGUAGGGUAUGGGGUUAUAUUAUAGGCUACAGGGCUAUGAGGUAGGGUAUGGGGUUAUAUUAUAGUCUACAGGGCUAUGAGUUAGGGUAUGGGGUUAUAUUAUAGUCUUCAGGGUUAUGAGGUAGGGUAUGGGGUUAUAUUAUAGUCUACAGGGUUAUGACGUAGGGUAUGGGGUUAUAUUAUAGUCUACAGGGCUAUGAGGUAGGGUAUGGGGUUAUAUUAUAGUCUAUGGGGUUAUGAGGUAGGGUAUGGGGUUAUAUUAUAGUCUACAGGGCUAUGAGGUAGGGUAUGGGGUUAUAUUAUAGGCUACAGGGUUAUGAGGUAGGGUAUGGGGUUAUAUUAUAGUCUACAGGGCUAUGAGGUAGGGUAUGGGGUUAUAUUAUAGUCUACAGGGCUAUGAGGUAGGGUAUGGGGUUAUAUUAUAGGCUACAGGGUUAUGAGGUAGGGUAUGGGGUUAUAUUAUAUUCUACAGAGCUAUGAGGUAGGGUAUGGGGUUAUAUUAUAGGCUACAGGGCUAUGAGGUAGGGUAUGGGGUUAUAUUAUAGGCUACAGGGUUAUGAGGUAGGGUAUGGGGUUAUAUUAUAGUCUAUGGGGUUAUGAGGUAGGGUAUGGGGUUAUAUUAUAGUCUACAGGGCUAUGAGGUAGGGUAUGGGGUUAUAUUAUAGUCUACAGGGUUAUGAGGUAGGGUAUGGGGUUAUAUUAUAGGCUACAGGGUUAUGAGGUAGGGUAUGGGGUUAUAUUAUAGGCUACAGGGCUAUGAGGUAGGGUAUGGGGUUAUAUUAUAGGCUACAGGGUUAUGAGGUAGGGUAUGGGGUUAUAUUAUAGUCUACAGGGCUAUGAGGUAGGGUAUGGGGUUAUAUUAUAGUCUAUGGGGUUAUGAGGUAGGGUAUGGGGUUAUAUUAUAGUCUACAGGGCUAUGAGGUAGGGUAUGGGGUUAUAUUAUAGUCUACAGGGUUAUGAGGUAGGGUAUGGGGUUAUAUUAUAGGCUACAGGGUUAUGAGGUAGGGUAUGGGGUUAUAUUAUAGUCUACAGGGUUAUGAGGUAGGGUAUGGGGUUAUAUUAUAGGCUACAGGGUUAUGAGGUAGGGUAUGGGGUUAUAUUAUAGUCUACAGGGUUAUGAGGUAGGGUAUGGGGUUAUAUUAUAGGCUACAGGGUUAUGAGGUAGGGUAUGGGAGAUUGACUGCACAUGGGCGUGAUUAUUGUCUUUGCGCUCUUUCACUUCCCUGAGAAAGAUGUGUAUCAGGUAAACUAGUUUCUUUGAAAAAUAAAAGUCCUUCUCGUAAAUUCGGCCAAGUAAAAGUGAC